rnacentral:rRNA from 1 species
ACUUAGGAAAGAUUCUUCGGAUGAUUUUCUAUUUGACUGAGCGGCGGACGGGUGAGUAACGCGUGGGUAACCUGCCUCAUACAGGGGGAUAACAGUUAGAAAUGACUGCUAAUACCGCAUAAGCUUACGGUACCGCAUGGUACAGUAAGAAAAACUCCGGUGGUACAGGAUGGGCCCGCGUCUGAUUAGCUGGUUGGCGGUGUAACGGACCACCAAGGCGACGAUCAGUAGCCGACCUGAGAGGGUGACCGGCCACAUUGGGACUGAGACACGGCCCAGACUCC